ensembl:ncRNA asRNA:CR31845 antisense RNA:CR31845
GAGGGGAGCUGGAUAUGGAAGGGGGGCUUUGGGAAGCCCAGAACAGGAGUAGGCAGCAACAGGGCGAAAAAAAAAAAACGGCCAUCAAUGGAGGCAGCUCCUCUUGGUUGCAAGUGCAACGGCUCCUAGUUGGCGAGCUGGGGCAUUUCCCCGCCAUCCCGUCUCUGUCGCUGUCCCAGUGUUUUUGUGUUUUUGCCAUUCGGUCGCUUUUGGUUCGGUUCGCUGGUUCGACGUUUGGGCCCGCUCGGUCCCGACGUGUUUUUUGUUGGGUGUCAUACAAAAACAUUUUGCCGCCAAACAGAAUGGCUAAGGCAGCUCCUCCUGCUGCUCCUCCGGCUCCUGCUGCUGCUGCUGCUGCUGCUGCCCAACCUGUCAACCGCCUUCCCCCUGGACUCGUCCCACUCUCUGCUCCUUCUCCACCAGCGAUGCAAACUUUGCGAAUCACUUUUUUGGUUGCAUGACCAACGCACAGCACAGCACACCGUGGGCUUGCGUAAGUUCGGGCUUAAAGUUUGGCCAACGCGGCGUAUGAGCAAUGUUUAAAGGGUGCUACCUGACAGAGUUCAGUCCACUCACCUGACAAACAACUGCUCCUGAUUGUUUACCCGCCAGGACACGACCGUCGCACCUGCAAACAGAAGGAAUGCUGUGGAAUAAUAACUAAAGAUGUGCGGAUUUCUAGAAGGAUAUAGGGACUACAUGUACUAAUCAAAUAAGAAGAAAUAUAUAUCAAGAGGUAUUAACUAUGCCCCCAGUAAAUCGAGUUCAAUUCAAGCUUUCAGCGGAACUUAACUAGUUUUCAGUUUUGUACAAUCGUACUAUGAUAUAGUAAAGUUAAGAACUAGAAAUAAAUGUAAUAUAACUAUGU